UCCCCGAUCCUCGAACUGCGCCGGAGCAGC
rnacentral:sRNA from 1 species